UUCGGUCUAGACUUUUCCCAUCUUGAAGGAGUCUCUCAGUGUGGAGUUGGGAGAUGGGCUGAAAUAAAGAGGCUAUCGUUUCCAUCAUCUUCACGUUGAACAUCUGUUGAUCUCAAGGACAAGUGGCGAAAUCAGUUACGGGCUUGUUGCGCUCAGCUGCAGAGCAAGAGAAAGGUCAAGCAAGGGCAGAAGCAAGCAGCACAUCGAGUGCCAGAGUCUGUUCUGUGGCGCGUUAGAGAGUUGGCCACGACCUAUCCAUAUCCAAGGGAAAGCAAUUUUAAGGUGGCAUACACUGCCCCCAUUUCUUCAUCCUUUCCAGCCGCCAUUAAAAACAGGUCCGUGGCUUUGACAACUAGUGUCUGAAGAUAGUUGAAGGCAAAGAAAAUAAUACUAGCAAUUAGCGAACUGCUGUAGGUGUGAAACCUUUACUAACUGAUAAAAGAGAAAAGAAUGCUUGGAAUGAAACUGCAUCUUUCUUUGCUUUGUUUUUA